GGGGAAGUGGCGCCUAGUCCUUGACCUUUCCUCUCCCCAUGGAGCAAUCGUUAACCAUCGUAUACCUAAGGAUCCCUUCUCUAUGCGAUACAUUUCCGUUGACAACACCAUCAGAUCCCUCGUUGACAUUGGUCCCCGGGCCCUAAUGGCCAAGUUCGACGUGGAGGCCGCCUACCGUAACAUUCCGGUCAACGUCUCCGACCGACAUCUGUUAGGCAUGUACUGGCAAGACUCUUUCUAUGUGGACUUGGUGCUACCUUUUGGCCUCAGGUCUGCUCCAUUCAUUUUUGAUUCGGUUGCGUCCGCUGUUCAUUGGAUUCUUUCAAACAACUACCACGUUCACCCGUUAUUCCACUACCUCGAUCAUUUUCUAACUUUGGGUCCCCCGUCGUCUCCAGUGCACCAAGCCCACGUCGACACUGCGUUUACCGUCUUCAAUCACUUGGAUCUCCCUCUUAACCAUGAGAAAUGCGAGGGCCCCGCAACCUGUUUGGUGUUCUUAGGUAUUGAGCUCGACUCGGUCACUCAAAUUGCUAGGUUGCCAGCCGAAAAGUUCAACCGUUGCAUGUCACUCCUCCAGUCUUGGUCCAACAAGCGUACUUGUCACCGUCAGGAAUUAGAGUCCUUGAUUGGCCACCUCCACCACGCGUGCAAAGUUGUC